UCUUCGGAGCGUCAACGAAACGAGAGUAGCUUCGGCGAAAUCGGACGCGAUGAGCAAGGAA
ncrna:Geobacillus genomosp. 3 RAGATH-18 RNA